GAUUAACGCUGGCGGCGUGCAUAACACAUGCAAGUCGAACGAUGAAACUUAAAUGAUUUCUUCGGAAUGAACUUAAGUGGAUUAGUGGCGGACGGGUGAGUAACGCGUGAGUAACCUGCCUUACACAAGGGGAUAGCCGUUGGAAACGACGAAUAAUACCCUAUGAAACUAUCACUUCGCAUGAAGCGAUAGUCAAAGUGUUAGCGGUGUAAGAUGGACUUGCGUCUGAUUAGCUAGUUGGUGAGAAAAAAGCCCACCAAGGCAACGAUCAGUAGCCGGCUUGAGAGAGUGUACGGCCACAUUAGGACUGAGACACGGCCCAGACUCCUACGGGAGGCAGCAGUGGGGAAUUUUGCACAAUGGGGGAAACCCUGAUGCAGCGACGCCGCGUGAUUUAGAAGGCCUUCGGGUUGUAAAAAUCUUUUGUAUAGGAAGAAAAUGACAGUACUAUACGAAUAAGGUCCGGCUAAUUACGUG
rnacentral:rRNA from 1 species